GUGUCAGCAGCCGCGGUAAUACGAAGGGGGCUAGCGUUGCUCGGAAUCACUGGGCGUAAAGGGCGCGUAGGCGGCGUUUUAAGUCGGGGGUGAAAGCCUGUGGCUCAACCACAGAAUGGCCUUCGAUACUGGGACGCUUGAGUAUGGUAGAGGUUGGUGGAACUGCGAGUGUAGAGGUGAAAUUCGUAGAUAUUCGCAAGAACACCGGUGGCGAAGGCGGCCAACUGGACCAUUACUGACGCUGAGGCGCGAAAGCGUGGGGAGCAAACAGGAUUAGAAACCCGCGUAGUCC
rnacentral:rRNA from 1 species